AAAAAACAACAUAUCUCUGUUGUAGAAAACCAAUCUAGGCAACCUCUCAAAUAAAUAAAAAACAAUCUACCGUGCUCAUAUAGAAAAUCAGGAUCGAUCUUUCCCUAAAGAAGCCUCGCACAAUAUUUUUCUCCGUCUUCGAAUCCCCUCCUUCUCUUCCACGACGUCCACCUCCGCUCGAUCUUUUGCUAUAUAUUCUAGGUAGAAGCCAGCGCAAAAGUGCCCUCCCUCACCCCGCUCGAUGACUUGCUCCCUCCAGACUUGAUGCGCUGGUACAAUCUCGGCUGCAGACCCUGGCAGGAGAUUGUCCUCCUGAUAUACUACGUAGUCUCCAUCCGCAUGGGAACGGCUCUGCCACAUCGCAGGUAGAUCAAAGGCACAUCUCCCGUUUGGAUGGCAAGCCCAAGCCAGCAGCUGCCACCUCUAGCGGAUCAUGUCACCGGCCUAUGGGAUAGACUCCCUGCAUGCAAAUUGGUGGUUCAUGGACGUAUAUAUCCAAGAGGCGCUACAGAAUCUCUUAUAAGACGGAUUGAUAUGCAUGGAGGAACUACAAGUUUGAUCAGCACCGGACCAUGUGUCAUGCACAACGAGUCGCGGAUUCAACAUGUGCCCGGGACUGAACAAACAAGUACCAGCAGCAGGUCAGCAUUGUGCGCUCGGCCGUACUUACGGGUAGUGUCAGCCAUGACUUGAAUUGUGAUCUUCAGAAUUAGCCAAUUUAAUUUUCGAUAAAUUCAGACUUAGCCAAUAGACGGGCCUUUCAACCCGCCUGAACGUACAUGAUACAACUGAUCUAGGGUGGUGUACACAUGAGCGUUCACAGGACGCCCAUGUUCUUGAUUACGCAGAUGUUCAUUAUCCUAAUGGUGGUCUUUAUACCCAUGGAGACUGGACAAAUUUCGAAUGACUGCAAGAGUUCAAGAUCAACAAGGAUGUCAGCCAUAUAAACCAUGCCUAAAUCGACCAAACCGGUAGCAGGGGCGGCUGUAAUGAAGUCAGACAUACCAUGUUAGGCAAAAGUUUUCUGAAUCCGUUUUAAAUUUUCUUAGUGUUAAUAUUGGUAGAAUAAUUAAGACUCGGGACAACAUAGUAAGAUACACUCUCACAUCCUUCCAACAUGCUGUUUUGAUGUCUACCGAGAAAGAGGCAACAAGGACUAGGGAUUAAAUGAUGUCUACCGCCGAUUGAAAACAUGUGAAUGUGACAUGGAUUGACAUGGAAAUGAGGGUGGAAGAAAAAACGAGAAUGAGCAUUAUAGCCACAUGGUUACUUGGUGGAGCAUGGUCCUCAGACGAACAUGGCUAACUGAUGUUCGUGAGUACGCAUGGUAAAUGCCUUGAAAGUAAACAACAUGGCAACAAGCUAUUUUGUGUUACUGUUUCUAUAUAUAUAUAUAUACUGGGGGGAUGUUGACAAAGAAUGCAUCCGUCCCUUCCUUUUAUAUGGGUGUAUGCUCAAGACAAGACAACAUAAAAAUGCCUUGGUCGAGGUCGGCAUCUCCGGCAAGGUCUCCACAGUAGGGAGGGCUCGACAAUCGCUCUCCAGUUAUUUCCCACGUAUCUCCUUCAGAUAUGAUCAAUUUGGCAUGAGCAUGCGUUCAGUCGGAAUGAGUAAGAGUCUAGAGCCUUAUAGGAUCCCUGCAUCAUGUAAAGAGGAGCUGAUGAUUUAGAAGAGGAGUGGCAAAGAUCUCCUUCAUGCCCCUACCUCAUCUGCCCUUCUGCUACUGUAACCCCUCAUGUCACGUCUCCUUUUUUAUCAACUCCAACAUUCAUUCUGUGCUCCAGCAGCCACAACCUGCAGAUUGGUAUGUCGCAGCAUGCAGUACGAACCGACAUGCAAGCAAAUCAGAUGAAGACGCUCGGAGGAAGCUAUACAUCUAAUAGUCAACCAUUUAGUUUACUACUGUAUUAAUGCAGAAUGAAAGGAAUGUAAAUAAGUUAGCUGGGACAACCACUAUGGCCUACUUUUGGUAUAUGAACCACAAUGCUUUAGGCUUUUGAUGCUACAUUAUAUGAACCUAUAAUAGGAAUCAUCACUGUGAGAAGCUGCAAGGCCAGUGUCUUGCCUCUUCCUGAAGUAGCACAUGAAUAUU